rnacentral:rRNA from 1 species
CCCUUAGAUGUCCGGGGCUGCACGCGCGCUACACUGAAGGGAUCAGCGUGCUAAAACCAUUGUCGAAAGGCAUUGGUAAACCCAUUAAAAUCCUACGUGAUUGGGAUCGGGAAUUGCAAUUAUUUCCCUUGAACGAGGAAUUCCCAGUAAGUGUGGGUCAUAAGCUCGCGUUGAUUACGUCCCUGCCCUUUGUACACACCGCCCGUCGCUGCCCGGGACUGAGCCGUUUCGAGAAAAGCGGGGACUGCUGCUGUCGGGGCUUUCGGGCCUUGGCUUCGGUGGAAACCGCUUUAAUCGCAGUGGCUUGAACCGGGCAAAANUCGUANCA